GACAGAGGUGCCGAGCGUUAGGCGGAAUCACUGGGCUUAAAGCGUGUGUAGGCGGAUCGUUAAGUACCUUGUGAAAUCCCACGGCUUAACCGUGGAACUGCUGGGUAUACUGGCGAUCUUGAGCCACCUAGGGGCAACCGGAACAAAUGGUGGAGCGGUGAAAUGCGUAGAUAUCAUUUGGAACGCCAAUGGUGAAAACAGGUUGCUGGGGGUGUGCUGACGCUGAGACACGAAAGCCAGGGGAGCGAACGGGAUUAGAUACCCGAGUAGU
rnacentral:rRNA from 1 species